rnacentral:rRNA from 1 species
UACGGAGGAUCCGAGCGUUAUCCGGAUUUAUUGGGUUUAAAGGGAGCGUAGGCGGGUUGUUAAGUCAGUUGUGAAAGUUUGCGGCUCAACCGUAAAAUUGCAGUUGAUACUGGCGACCUUGAGUGCAACAGAGGUAGGCGGAAUUCGUGGUGUAGCGGUGAAAUGCUUAGAUAUCACGAAGAACUCCGAUUGCGAAGGCAGCUUACUGGAUUGUAACUGACGCUGAUGCUCGAAAGUGUGGGUAUCAAACAGGAUUAGAUACCCUGGUAGUCCACACAGUAAACGAUGAAUACUCGCUGUUGGCGAUAUACGGUCAGCGGCCAAGCGAAAGCAUUAAGUAUUCCACCUGGGGAGUACGCCGGCAACGGUGAA